ensembl:lncRNA
CUGGACAAAGAGGCUUGGAUGGUGAGACGGGGCUGGAAGGACAGAAAGGGGAGAAAGGCGAUCCGGGGCUUACCGUAGAGGAGGUGAAGGACCUGGUGACCAAAGAAGUAGUGGAAAAGUGUGGGAUAGAGCAAGCGUACCGUCUUGUGAUGAACACCAAAGAUCCAGAAGGAGAGAGUGUUCUGAAAGAGGACGAGGUAACGGAGGAGUCUCCUCUCGCUCACAUGGAUGAGGAGAGAGAGGAGCAAACCACUGCGUCUCCCGAUGUUUCACACACCGAGC